GUGGAUCCAACUGCACUCCCAUUCUUGUAAGAACAAUAUUUACUUUUUUAUCAUGCUUGGUUCUUUAAUUUACCUCUUUCUAUUUUCCUCUCAGAUAAAUAGGAGAUAAAGCUUUUAAAGUAAGAAAAAGUUCUAAGCAGAGAGUGAGGGAGGGAUUGAAAAAGAAUAAAAUAAAUUUACUAUUAUGUACUAGUAAUAAACUAAUUCAGAAAAGAUAAAAGAAAAAUAAACUAAUUGACUAGUAUGGGAGUAGUAAGUAUCCUUGAAUUUUGAAAAAAAAAAAAAAAGUAACCAAAAAAAACAGAAAAGAACAAAAAGGUAAGUUGCUGGAUGGGUUUCAAACCCAGGUAAAUGGGUACGCAAAAGAAAUUUCGCAAUCCACCAAACCAGUUUAUCCAUUCGCCUUUUAUGUUUGAGGGGGCCAAGGAAAAUAUAUUAGGAGUCCUCAGUGUAUAUACAAAUAUAUAUAUUAAAUGUAUAUAGGAAUUUUGCCGAGACUAACGGGGUCCCGUGACCCCCAACCCCCAAUGUAGGUCCACCUCUGCCAAGAAUACUAGUCGAAGAAAUUUAAUUGAUAUGCUAUACCUUUAUCACAUUCAAAACUAUGCUGCCAUCACGAAGAAUUCUUCUUACCAGUAAAAUCACAGGACGAACUGGGUUUAAUAAUUCCAGUAUUGGGUCGAACACAGUAUUUCUUUGGACUAGUAGUCUUGACCUGUUAUAAACUCCACAAUGAUACUAAUCAGCCUCUAUCUGAAUAAAUACAAUUCCAAAACAGUACUUUGCUGAAAAGAAAAACACCUUACCUUAAAAGCAACAUGAUUUUGGGACUUAUUGAUUAGACGAAUAGUGCAAGAGCUUUGCUUCUUCGGUUCAACUAUAAGGAAAAAGCCAAUAUAACUAAAUAUCAGUUCAGUUAUGACAUCCUUCUCAGAAUUUAUACAGCAAUUCACUAGACCAUAACAAUACUAACAAAUUUAAUAAAUGCAUAAAUCAAACCAAAAGCCUCCGCCUCAUUUAUCAAAAACUCUUGUUAGAAUAAUUAAAUUUGUCUCUUGUCCAUACGAAAGCUUCAGUUUGAUUAAGUUGUAGCAUGAUAGCAUUAUUCAAAGUCAUUAUUUUUUUCCCCAAACUUAUAUACAUCAGACACAAUUAAGCAGCAGUAAGUGGAACAUAGAAAAGCGUACAUGUGAACUUGAGUUCCCGUGGUACAAUUUCCACAAGCUCGAAAUUCAUGGCUAUUUCUUUAUCUCAAAAUUCAAUCGAAAACACACCAACUGUAGCAGAUAUCACCUCCUGCAAGCAAAUGAAACAAAGUAGCUAAAACAUUGAGUAAUAUUUAAAUCUACAAUAUGCACGCAUCUUUAUUCACCUAAAAGUACCUAAGUACAAGAAGAUGCGCAAUAAAACUAACUAUUACAGCAUGUAUCCUUGUAAAAUCUGAUAAAUAUUGCCAGAAUCACACAAAUAAAUAAAUAUUAAAUACCGAUAAAUUAGUGAUAUUCAACAAAUUGAAAAAGUUGACCGGCGAUUUCAUCUCGGAAAGUGCAAGCAUGAUUAAUCACGCUCACGAAUCCACGUGGAUAAUGACACAUACAUAAUAUAUAAACAAUGAAGAAAGAACGACAUCGUAUUGGAAAUCGGAAUUGAGAGAGCUUACCGGAGCUUCAAAUGGCAAAGGCGACGAAGAGAAGAGAAUUUAAUAAGACAGAAACGAAUGCCCUGUUUUUUGUGAAGAUGAAGAAGAAGAAAGGAUGUAGAAAUUAAAAUGGGUUUUUUUGUAGGAAUCUUGGAAUUGAAUAGCGUAAAAGUGCCGUUACUUUCGGUGGUUAAAGCUCCUCAUCCUCUUCAUCUUCUGAUGUAUGUAUCAAACUAUCAAUGUGUCACUUCUCUCUCUCUCUCUCUCUACUAAACAAAAAAAGUACUAAUAAACAAAGGUAUUGACGAGNNNNNNNNNNNNNNNNNNNNNNNNNAUUCUAAACUAGACUAUAGUAAAACUAACAUAGUACACCGUCAUAUUACUACGUACACCUACUAUAUAUAUAUAUAUAUAUAUAUAUUUACCAUAAUAAUUUGUUUAUAAGUAUUUUUAUCUUAGUUUAUUACUAUUUGUGUAUUACAAAAGUAUGAAGACCUAAUGCAAAAUUCAAAUUCUUUUGCUUUUCGUUAGUGUAUUUCAUGUUGGAUAAACUUAGAAUUGCAAUUAAUAUUUAAUAAUCUAUAUCUAUCUAUAUUUAUCUAUCUAUCCAUCUAUACUACUACAUAUUAAAAGCACGAAAGUCCUUAGUGAAAUAUCGUUUGCCUUUUUUACCCUUUAUAAUCUGACUUCAUACUGGACAAAAUAGACAUUUAAAUAUUUUCCUAAUAUUUAGGAUUUUCUACAUAAUGAAAUAUCGAAUAACCAAAGUUAAUUUUGUCCUAAAUAUUAGGAAAAUAAUUAUUGCCUAAUAACUAAAAUUUUGAAUUCAAGUUAUUCAAUUAUGAUUUUGUUCCUUUAAAACUUGAAUUCAAGUACGUAUAUUUUUAUUCAGUAAAAAACGACAAUCUAAUAGAAAAUUAAUCCGGGAGAAAGAAACUACAAUAAAAAGGAGAACACUUCAAAAAGCUAUGUUUCUGAUUCAAACACCUAUUGAAGUCACAACCGUCCUAUUUUUUUUUAUAUGUAUGCUACAUCAAAUUGGUUGUAUGAACUUAAAAACAUCAUCAAGUGCAAAAAUCAACGAAAGCAAAUUACCAUAGGAUUUUGUAAGUUACUAUCUAAUCCUUAUGCCUCUUUUGUAUUUUAGAUUAUGGUGUUCGGAGUUGUUAGAAACUUUGGGAUUUCAUCGAAGCCAACACCGCAACACAUAGUUUUAAUAUGUUUUUAUUUUAUUUUAUGUUCCUCACUCCUCAUAAUCUAUGUUUUGCAGCUAUAUAUAAAUGCCUUUUUUCAAUUUACAAUAUGAAAUUUACCAAGACUUUGUUUAUUAAAAUGGCUUAAAAUUACAUAGUAGAAUGACAAUAGCACAUAAUUGCCAGACAUAGUUAUAUGAUAUUUAGUCAAUUUUAUAUACUCCUAUUUGUUUAGUAGGAUCAUCACCUUUAAGCACAGUAAAUUAAGUUAAGUCUUAAUUUCAAAAGUUUUUUCUACUUAUAUAAAUAUUUUUGAAACAUUGAUAAAAUGAAGUAUGUCAAAAUUUCAUUUCACGUCAUAGUAUUUUAUAAAGAAUAAUAUAAACUCUACGGACAAAGCAACAAAAGUGUAAUUUGUUGAAAACCAUGAGGGAUUUUGUCCAAGUUGGAAAAAUUACAUGUAAAAAAGAAAGCUUUUUAUUAUCUGUUAUAUUUCUGAUUGUGGACAACAAAUAAUUUUCAAAGAAUAAGGUGUUGUUUUAGAAAAGAGGUACAAAAAUACAAUAAAAUUAAGUUUUAAAAAAGAAACCUAGCAAUCCGAAAAAUUAUGUAUAUAAAUUUAUUUGCAAGAAGUGGGGGACAUAUAUUCUAAUCGAGGGAGGAACCAAAGAUUCAAAUUUUUACUAUCGUUCUUUCUAACUCACUUACUGGUUAGUGCAUGUUCUUCUUUUUAGGUAUAAUAUAUAAUCCCUUGCAAGUGAUGUAUAAUUCUUUUUACGUUCACCAAUUGAAGGCUAAAGUAACAAUAAUAUAUGCUGGGCACUAAUUUUAAGUAUACAUCGACUACCAUAAAAAUAAAAAAUACAAUACAAGACAAAUUUACUGAUUUUAGCUCAUUUUUCCUUUAAUUUUUUUUUAAAUCCACACAGUUUUUAUUUAUGUAAACUUUUUAAAGCUUAUAUUCAUUAAUAUAGGGUUGCACGCUUGUGGGUACUCUAAAUCUAGUUUAACUAAAAUUGUGAUAAGGAGGGCAACACCAAUGAUUUUGCCUAAAGUAAGUCAAAUAUUUUAUGAUAACUAAUCAUCAAAUCUUGUAAGUUAGAACAAAAUAUUUGGUAAUAAUGGAAAAAAGAAAAUAUUUUAAUAACAAUCUAUUAGCCUGACACUUAAGCUAAUCUAAAUUUUUAAUCCAUGCAGCUUGCAUACUUAUGACUUAAAGACAUAUAGUGAUGUAUGAAAAGGUCAUUAGGUAUCUACACCAUACCCAAAAUGCCAAAAGUAAGAAACUCAUCAAAGAAACAACAACGUUAAUUCAUAUUGUUUACGUUGAUACUUAGAGGAAUAGUAAAAUACGAGAUAAAAUAAAUCUAAUUAUAUAAAUGUAGUAAUGUAAAAAGGGAAAAAGUUAUAGUAAUACCACAAACCAUAUCUAAGUAAGGUUUGAGGUGAAUGGUGAGUACAAAAUGAUCUGAACAUUAUAGUUUGAAGAAAAUAUAAUAAUAUUGCAUUUAAUUAAAUAGUCUCUUCACAUCAUGCUACUAUAAGAAAAAAAUUAUUUUCACCUCUAAACAAAGAAUACCUCAAAUGAAGAUACACAUACGAAAUUGUGGGAGUCCGUAAGCCCCAACUACAUUUUUUCUUAUAGGUGUUUUGAUAGUUCAUUCCAACAAGUCUGAUCAAUGCAUAUCUUCUUAGGAAAUUAUGUGCAAACUUGACUAAUUAAACUAUUUUUCUUUAUUAAUAAGAUCAUUGGUUCAUGAACUACACAAGAUUUAUUUUA
rnacentral:lncRNA from 1 species